GGUUCAUGCAGCCCUUCAACCCACCACGACUGUAUCCAGUCCUGGACUGCCACCACAACACAACAACAUCAUCAUGUGUGGAUAAAGUACAGUAAUGUUGGCAGCAAGGGCUUGACAAUUUUGUAAGAUGCGUGGACUAGGCAAGUGGUGGCAGAAAUGGGUCCUGGAUGUAGUUCUGACACAUCCUCCUCCACUGGUAGCUGUAGUAUUAGCCGUCUUCUUUUCAGUCUUUGCCAUUGGCUUCUGGUGUGCUCAUUGGCUGGAUGAAGUUGAUCUUGCUGUUUAUAGAUCGGUAAAUGUUUUCGCUGACAACAUAAGAAAUGAAAAUCUUUUAACAAAGUAAGUUAUUAUUU